rnacentral:snRNA from 1 species
AUCCUUUUUUUGCCUUUUGGCUAAGAUCUAGUGUAAUAUUUGUUCUUGUCAGUUUAAUAGUUGAUAUGUAUUAACCUAAUUUUUUGUGGGUCACAAGCUACCUGGUCCUCUACGUGUUGCUUUGGCCUUACACUACCACUUUAGCCUGGCACAACCUAA